GUCUAAACACACCUAAAAUUCCAAUGUUCAUCGCUAGCUGGCGGAAAAGCUCGUCCAGCAGAUCCAUCUCGAAUGAGCACCGCAGCAGCAGCAUGGUAGAUAGAGGCGGUCAGGCGGAAGUGCUGCAGUGGAAACGGCCGGACGAAAUUCUGCGGCUGCACGGUUCAAUGAGAAACAGAAAGCAUUGCACUUGCAGGCACGGCUUCAGUGGCCGUAUAGUCGUCAACGGACCGAGGGAUCAAUGCUUCAGAACCGUGUGAGUCCGGAUAGGAUCAAUUUGCCGAAAGUCAGAAACGGAAAACCGGUACAGGAAAGCCUGAAAAAGAUGCUGCUGUGUGUUGAUUCCCAGCAGCUGGAACUGAACUCGAUAUCAUCGACAAUGACCAACAGGAUGCUGCUUUUAUAAGGAUUUUAGAAUUGUUCCCUCGUCUGACAAAGCUUUUUGGGUCGAUACCUUUUUACAACUUUAGGAUGAUGGUACCAGCGAGAGAUUGUUAACGAAUACCUUACUGUUCGGCGGUUCUGUACAAAAUUUGGAUCAAGUUUAGCUGAUUGUUAACGGAUGAGGACAUGACUGCAGUCACAUGGGUCUGGAUUUGUUGGAGUUACUAUACUGAUGAUUGGCGUUAUGACGAAAUGCAGGCGGUCUCGAUCCAGAAAAUAUUGAAUAACAAAAAUUGUAGAAGCCAUCUCAAUAUGAGCCAUUUGAAGAAAGCGGUUCAGUACUAUCGGUGUGGAUGCAACAGCACAUAUGUUUUAUGUUGGAUUUGAAGGAAUGGAAGCCGGACGCUUGUGGCUUUGGUAUGCAAGCAAUGGUUAAUAAUCGUUUUGGAUAGGAUGGGAUGAAAAAGCUUGUAGGAUUUAUGUGCAAAACGGCUCUGGUUAACGGAGCUGGGGCUAGCAAUGAAUCGUUUGUCGGAAUUUGUAUGAUUCGUUGGCUAAUCUGUGACAAUUGAGACGGAGAACUUCAUUUGGCCGGUUUCUUGUUUGGCAAUGUCGAUGAGCAGGGUCGACUGGAAAAUGAUUUUUUGAUGAAAAGUCAAAUAUCUUUAAUUUUUUAAAGGAUGGAAUUUUCGUCUCUGCCGGCUGAUAUUCACACGGAUUGCACUGAAAAACACGCUUACAACUAUGACGAUGAUGAUGCAACAUCUGGUGAUGAUAUUCGCUAUGAUGCAAGAAACCAAUUCUUGAAAAAUAUGCUGCUUUUAAAUGUAGUUGAAUCUUUACAACGAUUUUCAAACCGUCUUAUGU